AGAGAGAGACAUGCGCGCAUAUCAAUAAGCGGAGGAAAAGAAACUAACAAGGAUUCCCCUAGUAACGGCGAGUGAAGCGGGAAGAGCUCAAAUUUGAAAUCUUAAAGGGUUUCCCUUUACGAAUUGUAGUUUAAAGAAGUGUUUUCUGUUGAGGUUUUGGUAAAAGUUCUUUGGAAUAGGACAUCAUAGAGGGUGAGAAUCCCGUAUUUGACCUUUACUUUCAACUUUGUGAUACACUUUCAAAGAGUCGGAUUGUUUGGGAAUGCAGUCCAAAAUGGGUGGUAAAUUUCAUCUAAAGCUAAAUAUUGGCGAGAGACCGAUAGCGAACAAGUACCGUGAGGGAAAGAUGAAAAGAACUUUGAAAAGAGAGUUAAACAGUACGUGAAAUUGUCAAAAGGGAAGCGUUUGACACCAGUGUUGUUUUUCUGAAAAUCAAUUAAAGAACUGUUUAUGCUAAGCUGUUUAGACUUUAUCAGCUAAUCUGUUUAGUUUUGAGCUUUUCUUUAAUGCACUUUUCAGUUAACAAGUCAACAUCAAUUUCUUUUGCUGUAAAAAAGCUUGAGGGAAGGUGGCUUGAGAUUCGUCUUAAGUGUCUAUAGCCUCUUGCCUAUGCAGUCGGAGAGAUUGAGGUCUGCAGCGUAGAUCCUUCGGGGCUAAAUGCAUUUGUGCUAAGUUAUAGCAUUUUAUAGACAACUUGUUGACUAUGAUUUGUCUUGUAGCUUACUCGCUUAUGUUAUUUUACCUACGCUUAGGAUGUUGACGCAUGAGAUAUACGC
rnacentral:rRNA from 1 species